AGAACGCUGGCGGCAUGCCUAACACAUGCAAGUCGAACGGGGUCGGAACUUCGGUUCCGGCUUACGUGGCGCACGGGUGAGUAACACGUGGGAAUCUGCCCAUCUAUGGGGAAUAACUGCGGGAAACUGCAGCUAAUACCGCAUACGCCCUUCGGGGGAAAGGCUUCGGCCGUAGAUGGAUGAGCCCGCGUCCGAUUAGCUAGUUGGUGGGGUAAAGGCCUACCAAGGCGACGAUCGGUAGCUGGUCUGAGAGGAUGAUCAGCCACACUGGGACUGAGACACGGCCCAGACUCCUACGGGAGGCAGCAGUGGGGAAUAUUGGACAAUGGGCGAAAGCCUGAUCCAGCAAUGCCGCGUGAGUGAUGAAGGUCUUCGGAUUGUAAAGCUCUUUCGACGGGGAAGAUAAUGACGGUACCCGUAGAAGAAGCCCCGGCUAACUUCGUGCCAGCAGCCGCGGUAAUACGAAGGGGGCUAGCGUUGUUCGGAUUUACUGGGCGUAAAGCGUGCGUAGGCGGCUUGUCAAGUCAGAAGUGAAAGCCCGGGGCUCAACUCCGGAACUGCUUUUGAGACUGGCAGGCUUGAGUUCGGGAGAAGGUAGUGGA
rnacentral:rRNA from 1 species